ACUCAAAUGAAUUGACGGGGGCCCGCACAAGCAGUGGAGCAUGUGGUUCAAUUCGAAGCAACGCGAAGAACCUUACCUGGGCUUGAAACGCUCCGGCAAGGCGAUGAAAGUCGCCCCUCCAGCAAUGGAUCGGAGUACAGGUGCUGCAUGGCUGUCGUCAGCUCGUGCCGUGAGGUGUUGGGUUAAGUCCCGCAACGAGCGCAACCCUUGUUCUUAGUUGCCACCGCGUAAUGGCGAGCACUCUAAGAAGACUGCCUACGCAAGUAGUGAGGAAGGUGGGGAUGACGUCAAGUCCGCAUGGCCCUUACGCCCAGGGCCACACACGUGCUACAAUGGCGGCUACAAAGAGCUGCUAAACCGCAAGGUCAUGCCAAUCUCUAAAAAGCCGUCUCAGUUCGGAUCGGAGUCUGAAACUCGACUCCGUGAAGCUGGAAUUGCUAGUAAUCGCGGAUCAGCACGCCGCGGUGAAUACGUUCCCGGGCCUUGUACACACCGCCCGU
rnacentral:rRNA from 1 species